GAGAAGGGUGAAGGCCGGGCUAGUAGUCGCUGCCCGCUGGGCAGCAUCUGGAGGCCCGUGCGGGAUGCAGGCGAGGGGGAUGGAGCGGCGCCGCUGGAGGAAAUGCCGACAAGCCCAAAGGAAAGCGGAGUGUCCUGUGUGCCACAUGGAACUCGGGGAAAGGAAAUGAUUAAAGCCGUGAGGUUUCCUGGCUCUUCGUGGUGUUUACGAGCAGUGGUUUUUAAACCACGGGUUGUCAACUAUUUGUUCAUCUUGAAACCAAUACUGUGGGGGAGAAAUAGCUGGUGUCAGAAAGUUUGCAAAAGAUCCUGGUGUCUUAACAGCUGCUGGUAGAAUGGCUGAGGGCCAUAGUGAGUACUUCAGAGGCUUGGUGACUGAUGCGAGGGUGAAGACUCUUCCACUGCUUUUACAGCCCCUCUGCUCUGGUGCUGAGAAGCAGGCAUUGCGAGAACACGCUCACGCUCACUGAUACCAGACUACUUGAGAAAACAAGGUGUCUGAAAUACAAGAUACCUGUGAGCUGAUUUCAACCAUUUAUAACGAACUCUGAGAGCAAAGCGGUGCAAUAAUCUAUAGAUCCUGUCUGACUUAAGAUCUGUUACAUAUCACAGAUGCCCACUCUACGUUUUUUUACCUGCUAAAAGUCCGGCGACGGCCCCUGAUAGUCAAUCUUGUUAGCCAGAUAAGAUGUUUUUAAUCACCGUGGAAAUGAAUCUCUAGGGGAAAAUCUACUUCAGGUUAAUUGGCGUAGAAAGAUCCACAUUAAAUAUAGGUACUAGCAUUCCAUGGAGUGGAGUCCUUAACUGAAUACAAAGAAAAAAAGCAAGCUGAGCCCAUUCAGCUUUCUCUGCUUCCUGGCCACAGAUACAGCGUGGCCUGAAGCUUGGGUGUUACGUCUUGUCCCCUCUGCUGAACUGUACCCUAGAGAAUCCCGAGCCAAAAUAAACUCCUCCUUUCUUAA
rnacentral:lncRNA from 1 species